rnacentral:tRNA from 1 species
GGGGCUGUAGCUCAUUUGGGAGAGCGCCUGAUUUGCAUUCAGGAGGUAAGGGGUUCGAAUCCCCUCAGCUCCACCA